CCUAUCCUCAAAUUAUUUUCUUGCAGAUUUCUUUCCAAAAUAAAUAGCACUUUCGUACUCUAAUUACACAACAAUAACCACCAGAGUCCUAAUUUCAAUAUCCGGGAAACAAUUAUCAUAAAGGCACUACAAUACCAACACCAAAAACACACACGGUAAUAGCAUUAUCUCAACUGCAAACAUGCUUGAUUGAGUUAUUUUCU
rnacentral:lncRNA from 1 species